UACGGGGGGGGGCAAGCGUUGUUCGGAAUUACUGGGCGUAAAGGGCUCGUAGGCGGCCAACUAAGUCAGACGUGAAAUCCCUCAGCUUAACUGGGGGAACUGCGUCUGAUACUGGAUGGCUUGGAUUUGGGAGAGGGAUGCGGAAUUCCAGGUGUAGAGGUGAAAUUCGUAGAUAUUGGGAAGAACACCGGUGGCGAAGGCGGCGACCUGGUCCGAUACUGACGCUGAGGCGCGAAAGCGUGGGGAGCAAACAGGG
rnacentral:rRNA from 1 species